UACGUAGGGGGCAAGCGUUGUCCGGAUUUAUUGGGCGUAAAGAGCGUGUAGGCGGCCAAGCAGGUCAGCUGUGAAAACUCGAGGCUCAACCUCGAGACGUCGGUUGAAACCGUUUGGCUAGAGUCCGGAAGAGGAGAGUGGAAUUCCCGGUGUAGCGGUGAAAUGACGCAGAGUAUCGGGAAGAACACCCGCGGCGAAGGCGGACUCGUCUGGGACGGUACUGACGCUGAGACGCGAAAGCGUGGGGAGCGAACAGGA
rnacentral:rRNA from 1 species